rnacentral:rRNA from 1 species
GACGAACGCUGGCGGCGUGCUUAACACAUGCAAGUCGAACGAUGAAGCAAAGAAUUGAAGCUUCGGCAGAAAUUCAUUUCGGAUUAGUGGCAGACGGGUGAGUAACGCGUGAGCAACCUACCUCUUACAAAGGGAUAGCCUCGGGAAACCGGGAUUAAUACCAUAUAACAUUGCGACGAAGCAUUUCGAUGCAAUCAAAGCUACGGCGGUAAGAGAUGGGCUCGCGUCCCAUUAACCAGAUGGUGAGGUAACGGCUCACCAUAGUAACGAUGGGUAACCGGGCUGAGAGGGUGAACGGUCACACUGGAACUGAGACACGGUCCAGACUCCUACGGGAGGCAGCAGUGGGGAAUAUUGCACAAUGGAGGGAACUCUGAUGCAGCGACGCCGCGUGAGUGAUGAAGGAAUUCGUUUCGUAAAACUCUGUUCUAUGGGAAGAAAAGGACUGUACCAUAGGAGAAAGCUCCGGCUAAAUACGUG